rnacentral:rRNA from 1 species
AACGAACGCUGGCGGCAGGCUUAACACAUGCAAGUCGAACGCCCCGCAAGGGGAGUGGCAGACGGGUGAGUAACGCGUGGGAAUCUACCCAACUCUACGGAAUAACUCAGGGAAACUUGUGCUAAUACCGUAUACGCCCUUCGGGGGAAAGAUUUAUCGGAGUUGGAUGAGCCCGCGUUGGAUUAGCUAGUUGGUGGGGUAAAGGCCUACCAAGGCGACGAUCCAUAGCUGGUCUGAGAGGAUGAUCAGCCACAUUGGGACUGAGACACGGCCCAAACUCCUACGGGAGGCAGCAGUGGGGAAUAUUGGACAAUGGGCGCAAGCCUGAUCCAGCCAUGCCGCGUGAGUGAUGAAGGCCUUAGGGUUGUAAAGCUCUUUCACCGGAGAAGAUAAUGACGGUAUCCGGAGAAGAAGCCCCGGCUAACUUCGUGCCAGCCGCCGCCGUAACAC